rnacentral:rRNA from 1 species
AGAUUGAACGCUGGCGGCAGGCCUAACACAUGCAAGUCGAGCGGCAGCACGGGUACUUGUACCUGGUGGCGAGCGGCGGACGGGUGAGUAAUGCCUAGGAAUCGUGCCUGGUAGUGGGGGAUAACGCUCGGAAACGGACGCUAAUACCGCAUACGUCCUACGGGAGAAAGCAGGGGACCUUCGGGCCUUGCGCUAUCAGAUGAGCCUAGGUCGAUUAGCUAGUUGGUGAGGUAAUGGCUCACCAGGCGACGAGUCCGUAAUGGUCUGAGAGGAUGAUCAGUCACACGUGGAACUGAGACACGGUACCAGACUCCGUACGGGAGCAGCGAGGUGGGAAUGUUAGGACAAGUGGGACGAAACGCCCGUAGGACUACCGACG